rnacentral:rRNA from 1 species
AGUGAACGCUGGCGGUAGGCCUAACACAUGCAAGUCGAACGGCAGCACAGUAAGAGCUUGCUCUUACGGGUGGCGAGUGGCGGACGGGUGAGGAAUACAUCGGAAUCUACUUUUUCGUGGGGGAUAACGUAGGGAAACUUACGCUAAUACCGCAUACGACCUACGGGUGAAAGCAGGGGAUCUUCGGACCUUGCGCGAUUGAAUGAGCCGAUGUCGGAUUAGCUAGUUGGCGGGGUAAAGGCCCACCAAGGCAACGAUCCGUAGCUGGUCUGAGAGGAUGAUCGGCCACACUGGAACUGAGACACGGUCCAGACUCCUACGGGAGGCAGCAGUGGGGAAUAUUGGGCAAUGGGCGCAAGCCUGAUCCAGCCAUACCGCGUGAGUGAAGAAGGCCUUCGGGUUGUAAAGCCCUUUUGUUGGGAAAGAAAAGCAGCAGGUUAAUACCCCGCUGUUCUGACGGUACCCAAAGAAUAAGCACCGGCUAACUUCGUG